UACGGAGGGGGCUAGCGUUGUUCGGAAUUACUGGGCGUAAAGCGCACGUAGGCGGCUUUGUAAGUUAGAGGUGAAAGCCCGGGGCUCAACUCCGGAAUUGCCUUUAAGACUGCAUCGCUAGAAUUGUGGAGAGGUAAGUGGAAUUCCGAGUGUAGAGGUGAAAUUCGUAGAUAUUCGGAGGAACACCAGUGGCGAAGGCGGCUCACUGGUCCAUUACUGACGCUGAGGUGCGAAAGCGUGGGGAG
rnacentral:rRNA from 1 species